GGCAGUGUAGCCUAGUGGUAACGUGCUGGACCACCCAUCGGGAGGUCGUGGGUUCGAACCUCACCACCGGCA
rnacentral:tRNA from 1 species